rnacentral:rRNA from 1 species
CCUACGGGGGGCUGCAGUGGGGAAUAUUGGACAAUGGGGGGAACCCUGAUCCAGCCAUGCCGCGUGUGUGAAGAAGGCCCUCGGGUUGUAAAGCACUUUCAGUGAGGAAGAACGCCUGGUGGUUAAUACCCAUCAGGAAAGACAUCACUCACAGAAGAAGCACCGGCUAACUCCGUGCCAGCAGCCGCGGUAAUACGGAGGGUGCGAGCGUUAAUCGGAAUUACUGGGCGUAAAGCGCGCGUAGGUGGCUUGAUAAGCCGGUUGUGAAAGCCCGGGGCUCAACCUGGGAACGGCAUCCGGAACUGUCAAGCUAGAGUGCAGGAGAGGAAGGUAGAAUUCCCGGUGUAGCGGUGAAAUGCGUAGAGAUCGGGAGGAAUACCAGUGGCGAAGGCGGCCUUCUGGACUGACACUGACACUGAGGUGCGAAAGCGUGGGUAGCAAACAGGAUUAGAUACCCCGGUAGUC